rnacentral:lncRNA from 1 species
GGAAAGCCAGUGGUUUGGUAUCAAGAACUCAUUCAACCACUUCACUGUUUAGAAACAGAGCCUUUUAAACUCCUUUGGGAUUUUUUGGUGGUACUUGAAUUGUGAAAACCAUAAAACCAGUUUGAUUAAUAUUUGAUGGAGAACUUGAUGGGUCUUCUGAGAAUUCACAUCCAAAGAGGAGUGAACCUUGCUGUUAGAGACAUGAGAAGCAGUGACCCUUAUGUUGUUGUCAAAAUGGGCAAGCAGGUAAUUCAUUUGGCUACUCUUUUUUUUUUUUGGUGUGUGUGGUGAAAAUGGUAUAUUUUUGUGAUGUUUUUCUUGAAUCUUGAUCCAUUUGGACUCAUGGGUUUCUGGGUUCUGAUAUUGCAGAAGUUGAAAACUCGGGUGGUGAAGAGGAAUUUGAAUCCUGAGUGGGAUGAAAGAUUGACUCUUUCUGUUGCAGAUGCAAAUCUUCCGAUCAUGGUUUGUGUGUACGAUAAAGAUACGUUUAGUUUUGAUGACAAAAUGGGAGAUGCAGAGUUUGAGAUUGGUUCUUUCAUUAAAGCCUUGAAGAUGCGCUUGGAAGGCUUAGCAGAUGGAACCAUAAUUGCCAGAGUGCAACCAAGCAGGGGAAACUGCCUUGCUGAAGAGAGCUGCAUCAUCUGGUCCAAGGGCAAACUUGUCCAAAACAUGGUCCUCAGACUCAGAAAUGUGGAGUGUGGGGAAAUUGAGCUCCAAUUACAGUGGAUUGAUGUUCCAAGUUCUAGGGGUCUCUAGAUUGCAUUCUCUCUCUCUCUCUCUUUUCUUUUUCUCUGUAUAGUUGUAUUUGGGGCCCUGGUUAUUGAAUUCUUUUGUUCACAGAUGUGAGAGAUGGUAUUUGAGUUUUUAUCCUCCCAUGUAUUGGUGUCAAUCACAUGGGAUGUGAGAAAAGUUUGAACAGCUUGAGUUUCAUUUUCUAUUAAAAUUACGAUUUAUUUGAUUCAUUCAAUUAUUGUGUGUGAUUUUGUUGAUGCCUACUAGCACCAAUCUGACCAGAACAACAUCUUCCUUCUGGUAAGAUCAAUAAUUAUUUUUUGGGGUUUUUAUCGCAAAACAUUCCUAAGGUUAAUUAAACUAUUAGGUUAAGUUCUUUUUGUUUUGCUUUUUAUUUUUGUGUCAUUCGUG